GACGAACGCUGGCGGCGUGCCUAAUACAUGCAAGUCGAACGCUUCUUUCCUCCCGAGUGCUUGCACUCAAUUGGAAAGAGGAGUGGCGGACGGGUGAGUAACACGUGGGUAACCUACCCAUCAGAGGGGGAUAACACUUGGAAACAGGUGCUAAUACCGCAUAACAGUUUAUGCCGCAUGGCAUAAGAGUGAAAGGCGCUUUCGGGUGUCGCUGAUGGAUGGACCCGCGGUGCAUUAGCUAGUUGGGGAGGUAACGGCUCACCAAGGCCACGAUGCAUAGCCGACCUGAGAGGGUGAUCGGCCACACUGGGACUGAGACACGGCCCAGACUCCUACGGGAGGCAGCAGUAGGGAAUCUUCGGCAAUGGACGAAAGUCUGACCGAGCAACGCCGCGUGAGUGAAGAAGGUUUUCGGAUCGUAAAACUCUGUUGUUAGCGAAGAACAAGGACGUUAGUAACUGAACGUCCCCUGACGGUAUCUAACCAGAAAGCCACGGCUAACUACGUG
rnacentral:rRNA from 1 species